AGUUCUCUGGGUUUGCAGAAUGAGGGAACAAGAUGUAUUGCAGUGGAUACAGAGCCUGGCAUACAGAGUUCCUUGUGUUUGUGGCUGCAAGUACCGUGGUCCCACCCCUCAUGAUUCUAGUUGGCCUUGUCUGCAGGGCUGAUUCAGUUGGAAACAAUUCCCUGGUAGGCUGGUAACAAAUUCAGGGGACAGGAAUUAUAUGAAGUAAAGCCUCCUCUGGUGGCAGCCAAGGCUCUCUUCUCCAUGCCUUUGAGGAAGGGACUUCCUGUAAGGAUUCCGACUUGUUUGUGUGACACUGACAAAGUGGUUUGUGGCCUGCUCUCACCUUCCUCAGCAGCCGUCCCUGAUCAUCUCCAAACCUCCGGCUCCAGACCUCACGGAUUCUCUUCACAAGCAACCUGCGAGGACACUGGUGACGGGCCACUGCCUUCGGUCCACACCAUGGGGCAUAAUGAUGUAAGUAAACUCUUACAAAGAAGAACAAGAUGCUGGGGUAUUUACCGAAGGAGAUAUAACAACUGGUCUGAACAAGUCAGUUCUGGCAUUCAUCCUUCAUCCCACCAGCAGCAAGAUGGAGAUCUGGCAACAGAUGGCGCUCACAUGAGCACCCGAGUGAGAUAUGCUCCCUAUGCCAUUCCACCAUGUCGUCGGAGAGGCAAUUUUCAGAAACAAGACCAAACCCAAGCUAACAUGAAGGGAGAGCAAAAGCCUCCAGAGAGAAGAAUGGAGCGGGAGAGGCAGGAUGAGACCGUGGGGAAAUGGUUCAAGAUCAUUAUUCCAUUCGGCAUCAAAUAUGAUGAGAAGUGGCUGCUGGAUCUGAUUCAGGGACAAUGCAGUGUCCCCUUCACCCCAGUCGAGUUUCACUAUGAGAGAAUGCAGGCCCAGUUCUUUGUUGAGAAUGCCAACGUUGCCUUUGCAUUGAAGAGUGUCAACGGCAAGAUCUGGGAUGAGGCUAACGAAAGGAUCUCUAUCUUUAUCUACCCCUCUGAUGCACCCCACUCUGUGCACAAGGAGCUGAAGUCAGAAAAGGUGGAGCAGACAAAGCUUUUGUCCUCGAACCCGAGCACCAAGACACCCAGCCAGCUGGAUGGCCUGUCCAACACUAUGCAGAAUGCCGCCAGCAUCGAGAGCUUGAACCUCUCCAACAGUGAGGUGAAGUCUGCAGGGGAGUUGGACGAGGGCAAAAGUCUGCAGCCAGAAGAGAUGAGUACCGAUAGAAGUGCCCUGUGCACCGCCCUCCCUGAUAAAUCAACCAACAUAAGCUCCAUCCUGGAAUUGUUUCCCAAGUUACUAUGCCUGGACAGCCAGGACUCACCUUCACCAACCAGCCUCAGUAUUGCAGCCCACAAGAGGUUACCGACCUGCAAGGGAAGCUUCUUUGGAUCUGAUGCCCUGAAGAGUCUAGUCCUGCAAUUCCUGCAGCAGUACUACUCGAUCUACGACUCUGGAGACCGUCAGGGUCUCCUCGGUGCCUACCACGAUGAGGCCUGCUUCUCCCUGGCCAUUCCCUUCAACCCCGAGGAGUCAGCCCCAAGCAGCCUGUGCAAAUACUUCAAGGAAAGCAGGAAUAUGAAGAAGCUCAAGGACCCCUUCCUGCGUGUUCAGCUGCUGAAGCAUACAAAAUGUGACAUCAUGUGCUCCCUCUGUGUGCUGCCUCAAACUCAGCAUGACCUCAGCUCCUUCAUGGUGGACAUGUGGUUCCAGACGGAGACGAUGCUCUGCUUCUCUGUCAACGGGGUGUUCAAGGAAGUGGAAGGCAUGUCUCAGGAUUCUGUUCGUGCCUUCACCCGGACAUUCAUCGCUACCCCUGUCAGCAGUUACAGUCUAUGCAUCGUGAAUGAUGAUCUGUUUGUGAAGGACGCCAACCCCAAGGAGACCCAGAGCACAUUCUCUAUCCCAGUGCCCACACCCUCCUGCAGCUCCUGGCCCACCCUUUGCCAGAAGCAGCAGGAAAUGGGGCAGACUUUCUCCACCCAGUCUGGGAUGAAUUUCCAGUGGUCUCAGAAGUGAGUGCUGGGGGUGCAUGGGGAUAGGAGGGAGCUGGGAGUAACCAAGAUUGAAUUAUGUCAACUUGCAGGUAACUUCAUGACAGCCAGUGGGACUAUAUUGGUUCUCACAUGGCCCAAGGCCAAGCACAUGAUCCCAGAGGAGACCCUCACUCAGACUCAUCCAGGAUCCCGAGAACACAACCCUGACAAGAAACUGUUUUUGUAGUCAUCUUCAUCAUCUUUGCUGUCUAUUUUCUCUAGCCUGAGUUAAUCUCUGACUGAGCGGGAGGUUUGCUGGGAGCUGGGAAGCCAACGUUUAACUGACACUAAUCUGCUCAAGGACCAACUGCGUAUUUUCUCACCCGGGAUCCCCGAUUCUCUUCUUAAUAAAUAGUGGCAUUGUGUGUUAUGUUGUAUCUCUGCAAAAUCCAUUCAAGGCCUGUAUUUUGAUCACUGGUCUACAGAGAAAGAA